rnacentral:lncRNA from 1 species
UGCGGAUUAUAAUAUUUCAAUCCAAUCCAAUCCACGGAUUGAUAAAAUUCAAUCCAAAUCCAAUCCAUACAUCUGCGGAUCGGAUGCGGAUUUGACUCAAUCCAUAUCCAAUCCAUACGUCUGCGGAUUGGAUGCGGAUUUGACUCAAUCCAUAUGCAAUUCACCAUUUUGCGCAUUAGUUUUCGAAUUAAAAAUUUUUAGUUCUCUCCA